rnacentral:snoRNA from 1 species
AGACUGCUGACUGUGGAACAGUCGGCCCCUGUUAGUCCCUAUAAGAAAAAGAUCGACACCCUUCAAGCACACCAGACUUGCAGAAAGAGCAUCUUCCAGAAGAUGCUGAGGCAUUACUGCCCUAGUCCCAGCAACUCACGUGCAGUUCUCCUCCCACAGCGCUUGGGUGCUGCCACAGCGAUGGCGACUGGGCCAUAUUGUCAUCUAUAAGUAACAGCAGGAGAAACCCUGCAGUCAGGAUGCUGUUCAGCAGAGAGAGUGGCUUCUGUUGGGCACUAAGGACUGCCACGAGA